AGUCUGGUGCCAGCAGCUGCGGUAAUACCAGCUCCAAUAGCGUAUAUUAGAGUUGUUGCAGUUAAAAAGCUCGUAGUUGGACUUGUGUGCGCUGUCCGCGGGUGGCCUGCGCCCAAAAGGGCGUUUCGGUUCGGCCCCGGUGGCGCCUUGAAAUCUGCAGCUGGGGGGACGUUGGCCUUAACUGGUCGGCGACCGCACGCCGGCUGCUCGGUUACUGUGAGUAAAUUAGAGUGUUCAAGGCAGGCAUUGGGUGCAAUUGAAUACAUUAGCAUGGAAUAAUAAAAUAUGGCUCCUGCCGUAUUUUGUUGGUUUGACUGGUGGGAGUAAUGAUUGAUAGGGACGGUUGGGGGUGCUAGUAUUGAGCGGCCAGAGGUGAAAUUCAUGGAUUCGCUCAAGACUAACUUAUGCGAAAGCAUUCACCAAGGACGUCCUCUUUAAUCAAGAACGAAAGUUGGGGGAUCGAAGACGAUCAGAUACCGUCGUAGUCUCAACCAUAAACUAUGUCGACUUGGGAUCGGCGGUAGUUUUUUCAUUAAGACACUGUCGGGACCACGGGAGAAAUCAAAGUGUCUGGACUCUGGGGGAAGUAUGGUCGCAAGGCUGAAACUUGAAGGAAUUGACGGAAGGGCACCACCAGGAGUGGAGCCUGCGGCUUAAUUUGACCCAACACGGGGAAACUUACCAGGUCCAGAGAUGUAGAGGAUUGACAGAUUGAAGCUCUUUCUUGAUCACUUCGGUGGUGGUGCAUGGCCGUUCUUAGUUGGUGGAGUGAUUUGUCUGGUUAAUUCCGUUAACGAACGAGACCUCAGCCUGCUAGUGUAGUCGGCUGGAUUGCCUUUGGCGACCGUGAUUUCGACUUCUUAGAGGGACAAUCGACGCGCAGUCGAUGGAAGUUUGAGGCAAUAACAGGUCUGUGACCCCUUAGAUGUUCUGGGCCGCACGCGCGCUACACUGCUGGGCUCAGCGAGUUUUACUUGGCCGAGAGGCCCGGUCAAUCUUGUGAAAUCCCAGCGUGCUUGGGCUCGCCUCCUGCAACUGGAGGCGCCAACGAGGAAUUCCUAGUAGACGCAGGUCAUCAACCUGCAUCGAUUACGUCCCUGCCCUUUGUACACACCGCCCGUCGUUCCAUAAGAGUGAGGCAUCCGGUGAAUUCUCGGGAGAGCCUGGGCGUGGCCAGCAAUGGUCUGCUCGGGUUUGAACUUGCAUAAACUUGGUGCCUAUGAUUAGGG
rnacentral:rRNA from 1 species